CUUUUUCACACCCCCAAUCAGAAAUAUGUUGGAAGGGGCAGGCAGCACAAGCCAUUUCUGUACUACUCUCUGCACCACCGGUGUUGGUGCAGAACGACUUCCAUGCUUCAUCAAAUCCACUUCCUAAGCCUUUAAUAAUCUCCCUCACCAGCUCCCAUUUAGUCUUGAAUCCCGGCUGUAGAGGCAUUUUAAAUAUACUUCAGCCAAAGCGAGAGUUUCACAGAUGAAGUUUGCAAGUGGUUUUGCUGUGACAUGGGUGGGAAAUUGUCCAUCUCUGAGGUAGAAGGGGAUGAGCCACAAAACUAGAUGAUACCACAUAUUUCUGAUUGGUCUGUCUGUUUGGUCUGUUUCUUACAUAGUCUUGGGGUAAGAAAAAGGGGUCUUGUUUCUUAUGCCCCUGCUCUUGGGGAGGUUGGUCAUCAGCCUGGCAUUUCUCAGUUCUCCAGGUGGCACAGGGGCUUCUCAGUCCACAUUGAAAGCGCAAGUUAAAUUGGAUCUGUCAAGAUAUAUUAUAGUACAAACUUUUUCUAGAACUGGCAUUUAAAAAUCAUACACUGCUCCUUGGGUGGUGGCCUACUGGGACAAAAAUAGGUGAUGUCAUGUCACUUUCUCAAUUCAAUGCAAUUUCUACUUUUUCUUUUUACAGGAAAUGUUUUCAUAAAACUUUUUUCCAUCAAAAUCUAGGGUGUUUAUUGCAAUAUCCUCAUGGCCCUUGAGGUGCCAAGUCAGAGGCUUGCCUCCCCUUGCCUCGGGUGUUCUCAGGCUUCCCAAGGGCUGUUUUUGAGUCGACAGUCUGCAUCUUUUGUGCUUUGGAGAAAAUGUCACUGAGGUUGCCCUUCUCCUGAGAACUCCCCCUUGUCCCACUUUGGGGAUGGUGGCUGGAAAACAGGCUUUUCUGUUUGUCUGGCUCAAAUCUAGCCAGAAAAGGCCACAAACUCUUCCCUUUUCUAACACAAACUAAUGAUUGGCCAGUGGUCUUGGUGACAAGUUUUUAAGUCCCAAAUAGUUUUAUUUGAAUUAUGUAAAAGUAUCAAAUUUAUUUUAAAUGUAAACCAUGGGAACAACAGACUUCCACUGAGCGAUAUGAAAACGUUACAGGUUCAGUACUUCCAAAGGAAGAAACCUCCAACCCCCAAAAAGAAUACGAAUUUGUAUUUUUGAAGAAUGUGAAAUAAUGGUGUUUGCUUAAUUGCUCAUUUUGUAUAAACUUAAUGUUGUACUUUAAGAUAUCUGCUAUGAAGUGAAAAUUUAACUUUUUGGAAUUGAAAAAAGCAAUAUUAAAUACUAAUGAAAUCUUAAUUAAAUGCUUAUUUAAAUCUGGU
rnacentral:lncRNA from 1 species